UAUUCCAACAAACAUCCUGCAAAAUUCACAGCUUUACAUAACCAAACACAAAAUCACUCAAACUGACUGCUUUUGAAGUGUAUAAAUCCGCGCACAUCACCAAAAAUCCAAAGGAAAUAAGUUAAGGGAGAAUGAAUGAAUGGUGGAAGCAACAAAAUACAAAGAUUAUAUGUACAUGAAAGAAAUAAUAUGCAUACUUGUGUGGUUUAUUUUGUGCAACAUAGUAUAUGCCAAGCUGAAGUAAAUCACAGUCUUUCCUGGUGUAAUCGAAUGAAUUGUGAUAGGUCCAACAACAUACAGAGAAACAUUUAUACUUUAGAAACAACAUACACAGAAACAUGUAUAACAGAAACUAUAAAUAUGCAUAUAACUAAUGAGACUAUUCCAACAAACAUUCUACAAAAUGGUGACCAACUGCAAAAUUCACAACUUUAUACAAAGCCAAACACAAAACCCUGUCAAUAAAACAUAUAUGAUGAUGCUCAGAGAGCCUGCACAGGCUACUGGAUAUGCUAUACCGAAUGNNN
rnacentral:lncRNA from 1 species